rnacentral:rRNA from 1 species
GACGAACGCUGGCGGCGUGCUUAACACAUGCAAGUCGAACGGAAAGGCCCUGCUUUUGUGGGGUGCUCGAGUGGCGAACGGGUGAGUAACACGUGAGUAACCUGCCCUUGACUUUGGGAUAACUUCAGGAAACUGGGGCUAAUACCGGAUAGGAGCUCCUGCUGCAUGGGGGGGGUUGGAAAGUUUCGGCGGUUGGGGAUGGACUCGCGGCUUAUCAGCUUGUUGGUGGGGUAGUGGCUUACCAGGGCUUUGACGGGUAGCCGGCCUGGGAGGGUGACCGGCCACAUGGGGACUGAGAGACGGCCCAGACUCCUACGGGAGGCAGCAGUGGGGAAUAUUGCACAAUGGGCGGAAGCCUGAUGCAGCAACGCCGGGUGUGGGAUGACGUCCUUCGGGGUGUAAACCGCUUUCGCCUGUGACGAAGCGUGAGUGACGGUAAUGGGUAAAGAAGCACCGGCUAACUACGUG